rnacentral:rRNA from 1 species
AUUGAACGCUGGCGGCAGGCCUAACACAUGCAAGUCGAGCGGGUGAAGGGAGCUUGCUCCUGGAUUGAGCGGCGGACGGGUGAGUAAUGCCUAGGAAUCUGCCUUGUAGUGGGGGAUAACGUCCGGAAACGGGCGCUAAUACCGCAUACGUCCUGUGGGAGAAAGUGGAGGAUCUUCGGACCUCACGCUUACAGAUGAGCCUAGGUCGGAUUAGCUAGGUGGUGGGGUAAAGGCCUACCAAGGCGACGAUCCGUAACUGGUCUGCGAGGAUGAUCACGCACACUGGCACUGGGAGACGGUCCACACUCCUACGGGAGGGAGCCGUGGGGAAUAUUGGCCGAAGGGAGAAAGCCUGAUCAUGGCAUGCCGGGUGUAUGAAGAAGGUCUUCAGAUUGUAAAGCACUUUAAGUUGGGAGGAAGGGAAGUAAGUUAAUACCUUGCUGUUUUGACGUUACCAACAGGAUAAAGCCCGGCUUACUUCGUG